rnacentral:lncRNA from 1 species
GAGGUCUUGGUCUUGGAUGCGCUUUCUGCCUUCAAACGAAUAGAAAAGUCUUUCUUCCUCCCCUUUUUUUUGGGCGUUCUUUUUAUUUUGAUGAGAGAGUAUCUCAACGAGACUACGGUAGGGAACUGUCUCGCUGGGCACCUUUGUCUCAUCUCUUUCUUUUUGAUCUUUCUUUUUCACGUUUCUUUCUUCCUCAUUCUAGUCUUAUUUCAAAGCUCAAAUCCAUCUUUGUUUCGUUGAUCUCGUCUCACUCUUUUCUUAUUUUUUACAAGAUCAGCUGAUUCUAAAGGAGAAUCCAAAGAUUCUUUUGACAGGGAAGGGUCUUCUGACUUCUUAUCCUCUCAGUCAUAUGCUGAUGGAUUUCUUUGAAGAGCUGGACCGUGCCCUCGAAGUGAGGAUCUUGACCGUAGGGGAGAAUGAAUAUGCUCGCUUUAUCGAGGAGGGUAUGAUUGGAAUCAUCCAAGAUGAGACGAGUAAGAAGGAUGUAAACUUUUCACGAAAUUCUUCCGAUCUAUCCUGGAGAGUCAGUUUCAGGUGGUCUUCUUUAUUUAUCAAAACUUAUUAUCAUUGAAAGACUCACUACGUCUAAGAUUGACUGCUUCAGCGGCUAAUGAAAUGAGAUGGAAAGCAUCCAGCUUGAAUCUCGUUGGCAUACAUCUUCUCUCUAGUCUAGUCUCUAGGAAUGGGCGGCUAACCCACCCAUGUAAUAUUCCUGAUACAUGGAGAUCUGCCCUGGCUUACGGAAAGGUUUUCCAGACAUUGGUUUGGCCCUCCUCCAACUAAGACCUGGCAAAUAAUUGUAAGGUAGUUUAGGCUUAUCCGUGCCGUGCUGCUCCCUUCUUCUUUCUCUUAGGAGAAGCCCAAAGCUAGCUAUCUUUUCCUUGCUCGCCUUCCCUGAGGAUGACUUCAGAGUGCUUCAACUUGGCCAAGAGUGGAUGUAAUUCAGGUAAAAGAAUGGCACUUGCUCUAUUCUUGUUAGCUUGCUUGUAAAGGGGUCUGUACAGACUGUUGCAAGACUCUUUCGCCAAUCCUAUCCUACCGGUCCGCUGUGGUUCUUGCAGUUAUGGCUGCUUACUUCCCCUUGGUCGGUUGUUUACACAAAUAGAAUAAGGAAGAUGCAUCGAAUGCUGCUAUUGAAUGCGCUGUUGUUGCUGAGUGAAUAAAUGGAACUAACGGAUAUAAAGAUUCCCCAUGCUCUGCUAACUGAAUUGCUAUAUAUUGAUUCAAGUAUAAGUGAAGUGACUCACUCAGACCAAUCAAAUAGGGGGACUAACCUUACCUUACAGGAUAGGCGAUCGAAGACUUAAAGUAAANNN